rnacentral:rRNA from 1 species
UACGGGGGGGGCAAGCGUUGUUCGGAAUUACUGGGCGUAAAGGGCUCGUAGGCGGCCAACUAAGUCAGACGUGAAAUCCCCAGGCUUAACCUGGGAACUGCGUCUGAUACUGGAUGGCUUGAAUCCGGGAGAGGGAUGCAGAAUUCCAGGUGUAGCGGUGAAAUGCGUAGAUAUCGGGAGGAACACCAGUGGCGAAGGCGGUUGCCUGGAGCUUUGCUGACGCUGAUGCGCGAAAGCGUGGGGAGCGAACAGG